UGUGAGAAGAGCUGAAGUAGAGCUGAAAAAAUAUUUUCAGCUCUAACAAUGUUUUACGUUAAUUCUAAGACUGGUGCAUUGUUUUUUUUUCAGAUGUAUCAACUACAAACCUUUUAACAAACAUUGAUAGUAAUUUGAUGAGCAAUAAAGAUGAAGGGGUGUUCCUUCGGCCCGAUGCUGCAUCAAGGUAUACAGUUUCAACUUUUUUAACUUUUUUUGUACUCUCACUCUCUUUUCCUCGGAGAUAAGUGAAACUUGAAAUCCAUCUGCAUCAAGUUUUGUUUUUACCUUCAUUUUAAAAUUUGAAUGUACUCUCUCUUCAAAUUAUUCCAUUUGCUGUCUUUUGUAGGAAUGUGUGUGGAAUGGAAAAAUACAAAGUGCUCAGUGUGGAACUUCAUGUCAACAUCCCAAAUCUGACAGAAACGAGUGAAACCUCACAGUCUACAGAUCCAGGUGGCACUGCAAGUAUACUCAGUACAAACAACAGAUCUCAACAUCAUCGCGGUAUCUAAUCAAAACAGCAGCAGCAGAAAACAUUACUUUUUUUCAAUCCUCAUCAGCAGAGAGUCUCAUUGCCGCUGCAUCACCUGUUAAUAAAUCAAACGUAAAUUCUUUGUCCUGUAACUUGAUGCUCGGAAGUUCUCAAGUUAUCGCCUAGAUCGAAGCAUGUCUCUCCCUCUUAACUCUCCAAUGUCAGAUUCAACAUUUGACUCUGGAAUAUCCUUGGACAUCUCCCAUGAUACUCAUCAGCUGCCAGACCGUGAGAUGGAUUUUGCACUUUGCCAAGUUGCUUUCAAGUCAAGUUCUCAAACCCUGAGUCCACCCAUGCUGGAUGUUGGUGCUUCAACGAGUUUUUCUGAGACAUCUGAGAAUGUUGGUUAGUAUUAAUUCUCAUCACAGUUUUUGCCAACGACCCAACUACUGUACAUCUGUCCAUUGGAUAUCAUUUAGCAGAACCAGAACCGCAGUACCAUUGACUGUUUAAAAAAAAAUCCCUGUUAAUUUGAAAGAGGGGAACCGCCACAGAAAACUAUUAAAAUAUACAAUCGGGCGUAAAAAUGCCAUCUUGAUCUUUUGUGAGCUCUUUGUCACUUUUUUCAACGAAUUUUAACGAAAACUAUACAUAAAUUUUCAGUACAUGGCAUUUCAUCAAAUUUUUGUAAUAAAAUAAAAGUUAAGUGCCUUUUUUUUUUCUUUAACAAAUAGUUUUAUUAUAUUUUAUGUAAGAUAUUCCCAAUUUGUGCGUUUGCAACAGCUUUUCAAUGUUUUUUUAAGGUUUAAAAACUCCUAAUGUAAGUUGAACAGUCAAUGCUACCAAGAAAGGGAUCUAUCUACCAUUCUACUUUUAUCGUUUGAAAGAAGUCUUGUUUAGAAAUAGUUAUUAGUCAAGAACAUAUGUGUGGGAGGGAAGGCGCAUAAAAUUUUUAGAGGAGUAGAUGACCAAACCAGGAGCUUUCACUAGCACCAUUCGAACCUUUAUUGAGUAUGCCAAAGAUGCCAGAAUUCAAAUCUUAUAUAGAUAGACUUCUCCAUUACAUGGUGUCAAAUCAUCUCCAUAAUCUCCCAUCUUGGUUUUUUUUGUCGGUGUUCAAGAUCACCAGAAAUGUUUUGCUUAUGAUCUCAAUUUCAUGCCUUUUUAAUCGUGAUGAAUAGCCUCUGAGAGACACAAAUGAUAUUUAUGCGUAGACUUGAAAAAAAAAUAAUAUAAUUGGAAUGUAAAGAAUGUAUGUGUAUUACAGGGAUUUAAUCAGUCGUUUACAAUAGAGGGUCGUAACAAUAUUUUCUCUGUUAAAGCUACCAUGAGAAAACUGUCCAGCAAUCUCAUUGCUUGUGGCCCAAUCUCUUGUACGAAAGAAAAUUAUUUGUGGUAGAAAUAGAAAGGAAGCAGAUUGAGUUGUAACCCCCAUGAAUUUUACAAGUAUAUGAAGCCCAAUUGUGCAUGAUAUAAGUAAUGAUUGCCAACAAUUUCUAAAAAUGAAAUAUGAAAGGAUCAAUUAUAAUUGAUGUUUUCAUUUAUUGAACAAGAAAUUUGAUAAUGCAUGAUAUUUUGGCUCAUGCAAGCUAUUUUAUUGGCCUCUGUCAUUAGUGCUAUGUAUCAGCAAAUUCAUUUUUAGCUUCUCUCUUUGCAACUAUUGAUAAACUUUGCACCGCACAGCACUAUAUAGCACUCUAUCAUUAGCAUCUCAUUAUUCUAUAAAAAAAAUAGAUUUGGUGGCACCUGGAGGUUCAGUGGACUCUAGCAAUUUUAUCUACAAAGCGAAAAUGUACAAGAAGGCGCACUUCUGUGAAUGACUGAUGAUAGAAGAGUCGCACAAAACGCAGGCAUUACACUUUUUCGUUUCCAGCAACUCAUUUAAUUAAUACCCUUUCAUUUCAUCUCUUGCAAGUUGUUACUUUUUUAUACUAAAGUCGUUUUUUCUUUAUGUAAAGUUUUUUGUACUAAACUCAUCUUACACCCUAAAGCGCUCUUGAAUUUUCCUCUUGCUAAUACCAAACUUGCAGUCAUAAGUUUGCCUCUGGGUGUAGAUUUUCUGAAGAAUCAUACUGAGAAAAUGUAAAAUCUUUAAUGAGGGAUAUUAACAAAAUUUCAGGAUUUUACCUAUUCGGUAAUAUUAAAUAUACUUGGAAUUUCUUGUGAAAGAUUGGUGUUUCCAAUGAUACGUUUUAUUUCGCAAUAUACUAUGUUUUGUUUUGUUUUAGGGGAGCAAGAAUACGAGUCUUAACACUAGCUGAGCAAAUCAUUGCUGCCAUACCUGAUCGUAUUAAGGUGAUUAUGCAAAUGUACAAAAUUGAUUGUAGAUUUACCCUAGAAACUUACGUGGUUGUUGAUUUAUUUUAUUCCCUCUCUCUCUUUUAAAAUCUUACCACCAUCCAGAAA
rnacentral:lncRNA from 1 species